rnacentral:rRNA from 1 species
AAUAGAUACCCCGGUAGUCCACGCCGUAAACGAUGAGUGCUAAGUGUUAGAGGGUUUCCGCCCUUUAGUGCUGCAGCUAACGCAUUAAGCACUCCGCCUGGGGAGUACGGUCGCAAGACUGAAACUCAAAGGAAUUGACGGGGGCCCGCACAAGCGGUGGAGCAUGUGGUUUAAUUCGAAGCAACGCGAAGAACCUUACCAGGUCUUGACAUCCUCUGACAACUCUAGAGAUAGAGCGUUCCCCUCCGGGGGACAGAGUGACAGGUGGUGCAUGGUUGUCGUCAGCUCGUGUCGUGAGAUGUUGGGUUAAGUCCCGCAACGAGCGCAACCCUUGACCUUAGUUGCCAGCAUUUAGUUGGGCACUCUAAGGUGACUGCCGGUGACAAACCGGAGGAAGGUGGGGAUGACGUCAAAUCAUCAUGCCCCUUAUGACCUGGGCUACACACGUGCUACAAUGGAUGGUACAAAGGGCUGCAAGACCGCGAGGUCAAGCCAAUCCCAUAAAACCAUUCUCAGUUCGGA